rnacentral:rRNA from 1 species
UACAGAGGUCUCAAGCGUUGUUCGGAUUCAUUGGGCGUAAAGGGUGCGUAGGCGGCGCGGUAAGUCGGGUGUGAAAUCUCGGAGCUUAACUCCGAAACUGCAUUCGAUACUGCCGUGCUUGAGGACUGGAGAGGAGACUGGAAUUUACGGUGUAGCGGUGAAAUGCGUAGAUAUCGUAAGGAAGACCAGUGGCGAAGGCGGGUCUCUGGACAGUUCCUGACGCUGAGGCACGAAGGCCAAGGGAGCAAACGGG